CCUACGGGAGGCAGCAGUGGGGAAUAUUGCGCAAUGGGGGAAACCCUGACGCAGCAACGCCGCGUGAGUGAGGAAGGACUUCGGUCUGUAAAGCUCUGUUAAUGUGGAAAAAUGGUUAGUGGUCUAAUAGGCCAUUGAUUUGAUGGUACACAUAGAGGAAGCACCGGCUAACUUCGUGCCAGCAGCCGCGGUAAUACGAAGGGUGCAAGCGUUGUUCGGAUUUAUUGGGCGUAAAGCGCGCGUAGGCGGACCUGCAAGUCAGAUGUGAAAUCUCGGGGCUCAACCCCGAAACUGCGUCUGAAACUACAGGUCUAGAAUCUUGGAGGGGGAAGGGGAAUUUCACAUGUAGGGGUAAAAUCCGUAGAUAUGUGAAGGAACACCAGAGGCGAAGGCGCCUUCCUGGACAAGUAUUGACGCUGAGGCGCGAAAGCGUGGGGAUCAAACAGGAUUAGAUACCCCUGUAGUC
rnacentral:rRNA from 1 species